rnacentral:rRNA from 1 species
GACGGAGGAUGCAAGUGUUAUCCGGAAUCACUGGGUGUAAAGCGUCUGUAGGUGGUUUAAUAAGUCAACUGUUAAAUCUUGAGGCUCAACUUCAAAAUCGCAGUCGAAACUAUUAGACUAGAGUAUAGUAGGGGUAAAGGGAAUUUCCAGUGGAGCGGUGAAAUGCGUAGAGAUUGGAAAGAACACCAAUGGCGAAAGCACUUUACUGGGCUAUCACUGACACUGAGAGACGAAAGCGUAGGGUAGCAAAAUGGGG